rnacentral:rRNA from 1 species
GCAAGAUUAAAACUCAAAGGAAUAGACGGGGACCCGCACAAGCGGUGGAGCAUGUGGUUUAAUUCGAAGAUACGCGAAGAACCUUACCUAGACUUGAAAUCCUUAGAAUCCUGUAGAGAUACGGGAGUGCUAGUUUACUAGAACUAAGUGACAGGUGCUGCACGGCUGUCGUCAGCUCGUGUCGUGAGAUGUUGGGUUAAGUCCCGCAACGAGCGCAACCCUCGUGAUUAGUUGCUAACAGUUCGGCUGAGCACUCUAAUCAGACUGCCUUCGUAAGGAGGAGGAAGGUGAGGACGACGUCAAGUCAUCAUGGCCCUUAUGUCUAGGGCUACACACGUGCUACAAUGGUUGGGACAAAGAGCAGCAAUACCGUGAGGUGGAGCAAAUCUUAAAACCCAAUCUCAGUUCGGAUUGAAGUCUGCAACUCGACUUCAUGAAGCUGGAAUCGCUAGUAAUCGUAGAUCAGCAAUGCUACGGUGAAUACGUUCCCGGGUCUUGUACUCACCGCCCGUCACACCAUGGGAGUUGAUUUCGCUCGAAGCCGGAAUACUAAAUUAGUUACCGUCCACAGCGGAAUUAGCGACUGGGGUGAAGUCGUAACAAGGUA